GAAGAGGGCAGAUGGGGGUCAGUGGAUGCCAAGGGAGAGCAUUCAGGUGUUUAUCAGGGGUACACAGCACCACUGGAAAGAGACUGGCAUUGGCGGUCUUGUGUAGAGGAGGUUUGGGGUCACCAUGUUGGUGUUGAUGGCAAGUGACUAGAGCUUGUGUUAAGGACCAGUGUCUCUUCCAAGCAGAAAAGGGGGAAGUGUGGACCAAGGCGAUGUCAGACUCAGGUGGUACACAAAGGGCGCUGUAUAAGCAAACCAAACCUCUGGGAGGUGACUUUCGGAAUGGCGGAUGAAGACGACAGAUUUAUCAUGGGCCAGGACUUGGAAGGAACGGAUGGGACCGCAAGUGCAGAGUACUCUCAGCCUUCCUGAGGUGGCCUCCAGAGAGGGAGCUGGUCCAGGAGUCCUUCUCUGCAGGGGAGAAUGGCAAGAGGUGCUCUUGCCUUGGGGGCUGGAAGAGGUGUAGAGAGACGUAGAGAGACGUGCCCAACAGGCGCAGCCUGAAGACCACAAGCGUCUAGCUUUUUCCACUCUUUGAGAACUUGCUAUUCAAAUCUGUCUUCUUUAUAUUUGGGGAAGGAAUCCAACAGAUCUGUAGAUACAAUCUCACCCAGGGGCUAGGAUCUUUGGGUUCUAAUUCUUGCUUGGCCACUCGCUAACUCUGUUACAGGAAAUACUUCCCUUAGCCUCUCUGGACCUCAGGUUUCUCAUUGAUCAGAGGAGGUGGGGAUGCUGAUGAGAUAUGGUCUUUAGAUGCUGCACACAAACAUGUCCCAAAAUCACAGCAAGAUUUAGACCAACUUGAGCUCGCCAGUGCUCUCUCCCCCUCAUCCAUGCUCCUUAUCCAUCAUCUGGAAAAUUUGCUGGGAAUCCCAACAGAGAGAGCUGACUCCGUGCCUUCUCUUUAAAAUAGAAUGAAGAAAAUAGCCUAAGAGCUGGGAGAGGGCAGAGUAACAGGAAGCUAGCACUGGGAAGGGCUUGCCAUGGGGGCGGUGAGGGGUGGAGGGAAGGACAGUUAGAAAAGGCAAAGAGAACUCAGUCUGGGAGAGGCAGCCUUGAGAGAGAAGGCAUAAGAAACCCCAGAGAGACUGCAAGGGACUGCAGAGGAGAGCUGAGCCUGGGUGAAAGGAGCUGACAGACCUGUCAGCUCAGUUAAGGAGCCUCAUGCUCUGUGGUGUCUGCCGGGGUUCCAUCUCCCAAGGAGAAGAGCUCUGAGUGAAGAGGCUUGCAGCUCUGCAUCCCCCACCCAGCGCAUACGCGCAGGCUUUCUCUGAGGAUGCAGCUCAUUACUGGCUAUUAUUUUCUUUUCUUCACCUGGAGAAAUCCUGGGACUCUUGACAGCAGCAGGGAGAGUUUCAAACCUGUGUACUGUGUAUCUGAGUCACAGAUGUUAAAGCAAGCACUCGUGGGUUCCUGGAGGAGGGCAGCCUGCCAGUUACCUGUUGGUGAAUGUCAGUAAGCAUUUAUUUUAGCAAGCUCAUUGCCUCCUUCCCUCCAUCUCUCCCACCUCACCUCCUUGCUCAGGCCAGCAUCUUCCCUGCUGGUACCCGAGCACCAUACCUGUUACCUUCUUUAGAGAGAAAAGAUUUGUUUAUUCAUUGUAUCUUGUUUGCUUGUGUUUGUGCCUGAAUGUUCCUACGUGCACCCCAUUCAUGUUGGUUCCCUUGAAGGCCAGAAGAGGGCAUUGGGUCCCUUGGGACUGGAAUUACAGGUGGGCUGUGAGCCUCCUAAUUGGGUGCUGGGAUCUGAAACUCAGGUCUUCUACAAUAACAGGAAGUAUUUUUUAUUAGCUAUUUUCUUUUUUUU
rnacentral:lncRNA from 1 species